GACGAACGCUGGCGGCGUGCCUAAUACAUGCAAGUAGAACGCUGAAGGAGGAGCUUGCUCUUCUGGAUGAGUUGCGAACGGGUGAGUAACGCGUAGGUAACCUGCCUGGUAGCGGGGGAUAACUAUUGGAAACGAUAGCUAAUACCGCAUAACAGUAGAUGUUGCAUGACAUUUGCUUAAAAGGUGCAAUUGCACCACUACCAGAUGGACCUGCGUUGUAUUAGCUAGUUGGUGGGGUAACGGCUCACCAAGGCGACGGUACAUAUCCGACCUGAGAGGGUGAACGGCCACACUGGGAAUGAGACACGGCCCAGACUCCUACGGGAGGCAGCAGUAGGGAAUCUUCGGCAAUGGACGGAAGGCUGACCGAGCAACGCCGCGGGAGUGAAGAAGGUUUUCGGAUCGUAAAGCUCCGUUGUAAGAGAAGAACGAGUGUGAGAGUGGAAAGUUCACACUGUGACGGUAUCUUACCAGAAAGAGACGGCUAACUACGUG
rnacentral:rRNA from 1 species